AUUUUUUAGCCGACGGAUUGCCUAAAAUUUUUUACAAUAUUAUUAACCGUGUAUUUCAUUAAAUCUUUUUUAUUAAUAUUGUACGAAUAUUGAGAUUAUCCGAUGCUAAAAAAUCAUAACUAUGUUGAGCUCACAUAAGCUCAACUCUCUCUCUCUCUCUCUCUCUACCUCUCUCUCUCUCUAUAUAGUUUCUUUUUUGCAUUUAGCCUCUUAACAAAUAUUUUUUUGCAAAUAGCUCUAUAAAAUUUAUAUUUACAAAAUUAAUCCUAUUUCUGCCAUGUAAGCGCGAUCCUGAAAGUUUAAGUCGAAUAAGAUGAAUGAUUUAUCAUAUUCAAAUACAGUGAAUAAUUUUCCGUAUUCAAGCGUUAUCUAUAACCCCCUACGCACGAUCUCUCUUUUCCCAUCUCUCGCUGUGCCCUCCUUGAGCUCUCUGCGGUUGCUGUUCGUUGCCCGCUGCUUCUUCUCUCCUUCUCUACCGUCCUUCAUCGUAGUUUUUUUCCUGACCUCAAAGAUCUCAUAGGAGACCCACUAGUACCAUACAUCCACGGCGACUUGGCAGUAGAAGGGAUAGAAGAGGAUUACGCUGAAUCAUUCACUGUGUUUGUGACAAAGAUAUGACCAAUUUUAUAAAUAUAUAUUUUAUAAG
rnacentral:lncRNA from 1 species